rnacentral:rRNA from 1 species
UCUGUUUGGAGGUAUAAAGAGUCUAAUCUGCCCACUGAUAAAUAAUAUUAAGGGCCGCAGUAUUUUUGACUGUGCAAAGGUAGCAUAAUCAUUAGGUUUUUAAUUGGGAUCUUGUAUGAAUGAUUGGACAAAAGAAGGACUGUCUUUAUAUUAGAGUUUGAAUUUAACUUUUAAGUGAAAAGGCUUAAAUAUUCUAAAGGGACGAUAAGACCCUAUAAAACUUUACAUUGGUAAUUUAUAUUAUUAAAUUUUAUUAUAAUAAUUGUUUAGAUUUAUUUGUUAUGUUGGGGAGACAAAAAUUAUAAUUUAUAUUAACUGUUUUUAAAAAAUUCAUUAAUUAAUGAUUAAGUUAAUUUAAUUGAUCCUUUAUAAAGAUUUAAAGAUUAAGUUACUUUAGGGAUAACAGCGUUAUUUUUUUUGAGAGUUCAUAUCGAAAAAAGAGAUUGCGACCUCGAUGUUGAAUUAAAAGUUCUUUAUAAUGUAGAUGUUAUAAAAGAAGGUCUGUUCGACCUUUAAUUU